GCAGACGUAGCUCAGUUGGUUAGAGCGUCGGAUUGUGGCUCCGAAGGUCGGUGGUUCAACUCCACUCGUCUGUACCA
rnacentral:tRNA from 1 species